GUCAUAUGCUUGUCUCAAAGAUUAAGCCAUGCAUGUCUCAGUACAAGCCAAAUUAAGGUGAAACCGCGAAAGGCUCAUUAAAUCAGUUAUGGUUCCUUAGAUCGUACCCACAAUUACUUGGAUAACUGUGGUAAUUCUAGAGCUAAUACAUGCAAACAGAGCUCCGACCGGAGACGGAAGGAGUGCUUUUAUUAGAUCAAAACCAAUCGGUGGCGGGUUCUCGCUCGUUAUCGUAUAACUUGGUGACUCUGAAUAACUUUACGCUGAUCGCACGGUCAUCGCACCGGCGACGCAUCUUUCAAAUGUCUGCCUUAUCAACUGUCGAUGGUAGGUUCUGCGCCUACCAUGGUUGUAACGGGUAACGGGGAAUCAGGGUUCGAUUCCGGAGAGGGAGCCUGAGAAACGGCUACCACAUCCAAGGAAGGCAGCAGGCGCGCAAAUUACCCACUCCCGGCACGGGGAGGUAGUGACGAAAAAUAACGAUACGGGACUCAUCCGAGGCCCCGUAAUCGGAAUGAGUACACUCUAAACCCUUUAACGAGGAUCAAUUGGAGGGCAAGUCUGGUGCCAGCAGCCGCGG
rnacentral:rRNA from 1 species